rnacentral:rRNA from 1 species
GUCCACGCCGUAAACGAUGUCAACUAGCCGUUGGAAGCCUUGAGCUUUUAGUGGCGCAGCUAACGCAUUAAGUUGACCGCCUGGGGAGUACGGCCGCAAGGUUAAAACUCAAAUGAAUUGACGGGGGCCCGCACAAGCGGUGGAGCAUGUGGUUUAAUUCGAAGCAACGCGAAGAACCUUACCAGGCCUUGACAUCCAAUGAAUCUGCUAGAGAUAGCGGAGUGCCUUCGGGAGCAUUGAGACAGGUGCUGCAUGGCUGUCGU